rnacentral:rRNA from 1 species
CAAGCGUGGUUAGGCUUCCAACCCAUCACAACCUGUCAUAGUAUGAUUUUGAAUACGAAUAUCAAUAUAACUUUCAACAACGGAUCUCUUGGCUCUCGCAUCGAUGAAGAACGCAGCGAAAUGCGAUAAGUAAUGUGAGUUGCAGAAUUCAGUGAAUCAUCGAAUCUUUGAACGCACCUUGCGCUCCUUGGCAUUCCGAGGAGCAUGCCUGUUUGAGUGUCGUUGAACUUCUCAGAACCCCCUGUCAAAGUGGGCUUUGGAUUGGUGGAGGAUGCACUGCUGCCCCGAUCUUGGGGGCUCCUCUUUGCUUCUCUGAAAUGGAUGGGUUGUGGCCACGAGCUGGUCGUCGGUAUGAUACGUCUUACCUGCUUCCAAUCCGUGCCAGCCAGACAUGACCGCAAGGUCUCAGGAAUUUGACCUCAAAUCAGGCAGGACUACCCGCUGAACUUAAGCAUAUCAAUAAGCGGAGGA